CCCAAGAGAUCGGGAUAACACCUGGAAACAGAUGCUAAUACCGGAUAACAACAGAUGAUGCCUAUCAACUGUUUAAAAGAUGGUUCUGCUAUCACUCUUGGAUGGACCUGCGGUGCAUUAGCUAGUUGGUAGGGUAACGGCCUACCAAGGCGAUGAUGCAUAGCCGAGUUGAGAGACUGAUCGGCCACAUUGGGACUGAGACACGGCCCAAACUCCUACGGGAGGCAGC
rnacentral:rRNA from 1 species